rnacentral:rRNA from 1 species
AACGAACGCUGGCGGCAUGCCUAACACAUGCAAGUCGAACGAGAUCUUCGGGUCUAGUGGCGCACGGGUGCGUAACGCGUGGAAUAUGCCAUUUGGUUCGGAAUAACCGUUGGAAACGACUGCUAAUACCGGAUGAUGACCAAAGUCCACAGAUUUAUCGCCAAAGGAUGAGCCCGCGUAGGAUUAGCUAGUUGGUGUGGUAAAGGCGCACCAAGGCGACGAUCCGUAGCUGGUCUGAGAGGAUGAGCAGCAACACUGGGACUGAGACACGGCCCAGACUCCUACGGGAGGCAGCAGUGGGGAAUAUUGGACAAUGGGCGAAAGCCUGAUCCAGCAAUGCCGCGUGAGUGAUGAAGGCCUUAGGGUUGUAAAGCUCUUUUACCCGGGAUGAUAAUGACAGUACCGGGAGAAUAAGCUCCGGCUAACUCCGUGCCAGCCGCCGCGGUAA